UCUCCCUCGGACUGUUAAGGACCCGUGUACCUGUGUCCAGCCCCGAGAUCGAGGCAAGCAGACGAGGGCAGGGCUGGGGCAAGGCGAGCAGGAGACCUCCCAGUGCGGCCCCGGCAGCAGAGGAAGCACGCAAAAGUUCGCUGUCUCGCCCGCCUCGUUCACGGGUUUAAAACCAAACAAAACGCGAAAAACAACGCCUCCUUCACUGUGGCCCUUCGCGGCUCCUGCAGAGAAGAAGAUGUGCGAUGUCAAACGGAGACGCUGUUUGAAAGAUUUAAGAGCCGGUGCCAAAUCCUCCUGGCGACACACGUCUCCUCGCAGCCCAAACCAGAGCUUCCGCCCUCUCCCCUCUAACACCUGCUCGCUCGCUCUUUCUCUCUCUCUCUCUCUCCUCCGCUGCUCCAGAAAGUGCCACAGACCCUGCGGCCUUCUCUUCCCCGGUCGACUCUUCCGCGGCCUUUGCCUCCGUCUUCCCCUCCUUCCAAGCUCUACUAGGACUGCCAGAUCCUUGACCUUUUCUCCGCCCUCUGCCCGUCUCCUUGUCCCCUCUGCCGCAUCGGAUAUUAUUUACACGUCCUUCUUGAAACUUCCUCCUUGUCUUGUUGGUGUUUUUGGUUUUGGGGGGUUUUUUUUACCCGAGAGCAGUCAGAGUUGAGAUUUUUUUUUAGCACCUAACUAUGUGCCACACACUGUGCUAAGCAGCCUAGGGGACUUCGGUCAUUAAUUCCUCACGGCAACCCUGGGGAGUGGGUACUAUUAUCGUUAUACCCACUCUUCAGAUAAGGAGACUGAGGCAGAGUGGAGGUAAGCCAGCAGCCCAAGACCACACAGCUCUGGAACCGGCCAAGCGGGGGGUUCAGAUGCAGAGCAGCCUGACUCCAGGACCUUUCUUCUGAGUCACCAGCCUCCUGCCACCGCGCUGGGACUACACUUUUCCACCUUCCUCCUCCCCUCUAGUACUUUCCACAUGUCAGGCUCUUCCUUCCCAACCAAGUGUCUUGAGAGGCCGCCCGCAUUACGCAGGCUCUGCUUCUCCCCCAGGCCCGGCAUCCGGGACCGGCGUUGAUGUCGGUCGCACUACCUUGUUCGACGGACCCUUGCUUGCCCCCGUUCCUCCGCCUCCGUCCACGUGGCAGAUGCCCACGGAGACCGUUUGGCUCUCAGAUUUUUUCAGGGACUCCUCAGCCUCUCCCUCGCCCCUUCCUGGAGGUCAGAGCCCCCCAGUUCUUCUCUUCUUCUGACUCUGUGACCCCUCCCGUGGAGGCCCCUCCACCCCCACUGCUUCAAAUAUGACCUGUUAGGGGUCUACCUUCUUAAGCACCGAGCUUGUGGCAUUUCGUUAAUGCCAGCCCUAGGGAGGCAAAGACAACCUGAACCCAGUGACCCCCCAGCCCGGACCACCUGAGCCCCAGACCCACGAUGGCCAGCUACCAGCGGGAAAUCUCCAGGGUCCCCUGUCCGGGGAAAAGGUUCCACCAUAUCGGGUCGCAGAGAUGUGAACCCCACCGCCCCCACCUGGUUCACACCGUCGGCAUCUCUCACCCGCAUCAGCUCAGUGGCCUCCCCCCUGCGUGGUUUCCUCGCCCUCAGAACUGCCCUCUCCAGUCCAUUUUGCACAAUGGACCUCACACCAGCUUAGCCUGUCCCACCGCCGUCCCGCUGCCCUGCUUGAUUUCCACCGUAGUAUUUAUUCGUACCUGACAUUUGCUUGUUUGUAAUUUGUAAGCUUGGGAUCUUGUCUGUCUUGUCCACUGCUGUAUUCUCAGUGCCUCAAACUAUACCCAACACGUAGUAGGUGACCGGUAACUACUUGACUGGAUAAAUGAAGGCAGCCAGAAACAUCUUUUAUUAUUAUUAUUUUAAGUUUUUUUUU